CUGUAUGCAUCGCUGAAUUCCGAAAGGAAGCGGGGGACCCAACCAUUGGGGUGAAUCCCGUUCAGCUGCCGGCAACCCUGCGGACACCAACCGGCAGCUAACGGGUAGGGCUAAUUCCUUCGGCCCGAAUCCGUCAGCUAACCUCGCAAGCGUUGAAAGGAAGGAUAA
rnacentral:sRNA from 2 species